rnacentral:rRNA from 1 species
ACACGACUCUCGGCAACGGAUAUCUAGGCUCUCGCAUCGAUGAAGGACGUAGCAAACUGCGAUACUUGGUGUGAAUUGCAGAAUCCCGUGAACCAUCGAGUCUUUGAACGCAAGUUGCGCCCGAAGCCAUUAGGCCGAGGGCACGUCUGCCUGGGCGUCACGCAUCGCGU